CUUUAUUGGAGAGUUUGAUCCUGGCUCAGGACGAACGCUGGCGGCGUGCCUAAUACAUGCAAGUCGAGCGCUAGGGGAUCUCCCUUAGGGGAGACCUCCUGGAGCGGCGGACGGGUGAGUAACACGUAGGCAACCUGCCUGUAAGACCGGGAUAACUACCGGAAACGGUAGCUA
rnacentral:rRNA from 1 species